rnacentral:piRNA from 1 species
UCCCACUAAUUGGCAAGUCUCCAGAUC